CCUGAACCUGAACCCAGCUGUGUGUCCAUGAAGAGUGACCGGUCCAUGGGGAAACCUUUACAUUUUAAAUCUGGACAACCAGCUGAUGGAAGAGUGGACCAGGAGAGCUCAGAGGUUCCCAGUGGUCAGUCUGCCCAGCAGCAUCAAACACACCUGGACUCCAUAUUUAUGCUGCUGGAGGAGAACAUCGUCACUUUUGUGAAGAACGAGCUGAAGAAGAUGCAGAAGAGUCUGAGUCCAGAU